UUGCAGCUAUUGUUGAUAACUUGAUAUGUAGAACGGUCACAUGGGAAGAUGAUAAAAUAAGUUGUUCCUUUAUGAUGGGGCGCGGUUGGUGACAAUUUUGGAGGAAUAUAAACUUUCGAGAAUACGAAAAGAAGAGGAAAAGAGGCGAUUAAGGG